UACGUAGGGGGCAAGCGUUGUCCGGAUUUAUUGGGCGUAAAGAGCUCGUAGGCGGCUCGGUAAGUCGGAUGUGAAACCUCCAGGCUCAACCUGGAGACGCCAUCUGAUACUGCCGUGGCUUGAGUCCGGUAGAGGAGCAGGGAAUUCCUGGUGUAGCGGUGAAAUGCGCAGAUAUCAGGAGGAACACCAGCGGCGAAGGCGCUGCUCUGGGCCGGUACUAACGCUGAGGAGCGAAAGCGUGGGGAGCGAACAGG
rnacentral:rRNA from 1 species